AGUCGAACGGCAGCGCGGGGCAACCUGGCGGCGAGUGGCGAACGGGUGAGUAAUAUAUCGGAACGUACCCUGGAGUGGGGGAUAACGUAGCGAAAGUUACGCUAAUACCGCAUACGAUCUAAGGAUGAAAGUGGGGGCUUCGCAAGAACCUCAUGCUCCUGGAGCGGCCGAUAUCUGAUUAGCUAGUUGGUAGGGUAAAAGCCUACCAAGGCUUCGAUCAGUAGCUGGUCUGAGAGGACGACCAGCCACACUGGAACUGAGACACGGUCCAGACUCCUACGGGAGGCAGCAGUGGGGAAUUUUGGACAAUGGGCGCAAGCCUGAUCCAGCAAUGCCGCGUGAGUGAAGAAGGCCUUCGGGUUGUAAAGCUCUUUUGUCAGGGAAGAAACGGUGAGAGCUAAUAUCUCUUGCUAAUGACGGUACCUGAAGAAUAAGCACCGGCUAACUACGUGCCAGCAGCCGCGGUAAUACGUAGGGUGCAAGCGUUAAUCGGAAUUACUGGGCGUAAAGCGUGCGCAGGCGGUUUUGUAAGUUUGUCGUGAAAGCCCCGGGCUCAACCUGGGAAUUGCGAUGAAGACUGCAAGGCUUGAAUCUGGCAGAGGGGGGUAGAAUUCCACGUGUAGCAGUGAAAUGCGUAGAGAUGUGGAGGAACACCGAUGGCGAAGGCAGCCCCCUGGGUCAAGAUUGACGCUCAUGCACGAAAGCGUGGGGAGCAAACAGGAUUAGAUACCCUGGUAGUCCACGCCCUAAACGAUGUCUACUAGUUGUCGGGUUUUAAUUAACUUGGUAACGCAGCUAACGCGUGAAGUAGACCGCCUGGGGAGUACGGUCGCAAGAUUAAAACUCAAAGGAAUUGACGGGGACCCGCACAAGCGGUGGAUGAUGUGGAUUAAUUCGAUGCAACGCGAAAAACCUUA
rnacentral:rRNA from 2 species